UAGGGAAUAUUGGACAAUGGGGGCAACCCUGAUCCAGCCAUGCCGCGUGAGUGAAGAAGGCCCUCGGGUUGUAAAGCUCUUUUGUCCGGAAAGAAAAGCAUUCGGUGAAUACCCGGAUGUUCUGACGGUACCGGAAGAAUAAGCACCGGCUAACUUCGUGCCAGCAGCCGCGGUAAUACGACGGGUGCAAGCGUUACUCGGAAUUACUGGGCGUAAAGCGUGCGUAGGUGGUUGUUUAAGUCUGAUGUGAAAGCCCUGGGCUCAACCUGGGAAUGGCAUUGGAAACUGGGCAGCUAGAGUGCGGUAGAGGGUAGUGGAAUUCCCGGUGUAGCAGUGAAAUGCGUAGAGAUCGGGAGGAACAUCUGUGGCGAAGGCGACUGCCUGGAUCAGCACUGACACUGAGGCACGAAAGCGUGGGGAGCAAACA
rnacentral:rRNA from 1 species